UACGGGGGGGGGCAAGCGUUGUUCGGAAUUACUGGGCGUAAAGGGCGCGUAGGCGGCCUGCUAAGUCGAACGUGAAAUCCCUGGGCUCAACCCAGGAACUGCGUCCGAUACUGGUUGGCUUGAAUCCGGGAGAGGGAUGUGGAAUUCCAGGUGUAGCGGUGAAAUGCGCAGAUAUCAGGAGGAACACCGGUGGCGAAGGCGGAUCUCUGGGCCUUACCUGACGCUCGAGGUGCGAAAGCUAGGGGAGCGAACAGG
rnacentral:rRNA from 1 species